AAUGGCUGCAGUAAUUUGACUGUACAAAGGUAGCAUAAUCAUUAGUUUUUUAAUUAAAAGCUUGUAUGAAGGGUUGGACGAAAUAAAAUCUGUCUCUUUUUAAUAUAAUUAGAAUUUAAUUUUUAAGUUAAAAAGCUUAAAUAAAUUUAAAAGACGAGAAGACCCUAUAGAGUUUAAUAAUUUUUUUUUAUUAAUUAAUUUAGAUUUAUUUAUUUUAUUUAAAAAAAAUUAUUUUAUUGGGGUAAUGGAAAGAUUUAAAUAAUUCUUUUUUUAAUAAAUCAUUAAUUUAUGAAAGUUUAUGAUCCAUUGAGUUUUGAUUAUAAGAUUAAAUUACCUUAGGGAUAACAGCGUAAUUUUUUUAAAGAGUUCAUAUCGAUAAAAAAGUUUGCGACCUCGAUGUUGGAUUAAAGAUUAAUUUAGGUGUAGAAGUUUAAAUUUUUGGUCUGUUCGACCAUUGAAUCUUUACAUGAUCUGAGUUCAAACCGGUGUAAGCCAGGUUGGUUUCUAUCUUUAAAAAGAUUUGAUAUUUUAGUACGAAAGGACCAAAUAUUAUAUAUAUAAAUAUUUAAAUUAUUGAAUAUU
rnacentral:rRNA from 1 species